AUGGCGGAGGAUGUGGGGAGGAGGAGGAUGCAGCAGCAGCAGGAGGAGGAGGAGGAUGAGCGUUUGAAGGCGGCGGCGGCGGCGGUGGAGGAGGGAGGAGGGAAGAUGAAGAGGAAGCGGGGGAGGGUGGAGUUGCGGCGGAUAGAGGACAGGACGAGCCGGCAGGUUCGCUUCUCCAAGCGGCGGAGCGGGCUCUUCAAGAAGGCCUUCGAGCUCUCCGUGCUCUGCGACGCCGAGGUUGCGCUAGUUGUCUUCUCUCCCGCCGGCCGCCUCUACGAGUUCGUCUCCUCCGACACCAGCGUUGAGCAAAUUUUUGGUCGAUGCAAGGACAUUCCCGACACGAUAAUUGAUGAUCUGAAUAUAGCAGCACGAGAUUCCAGGGGUUAUUGCAAUAUACAGCUUGAUCUGAACGAGCAGUCAGUUCCAGAGUCAGUAUCUGAACUAAAUAGCUUCGCUCAAAUGGCCCUGGAACUAGAUGUUAAAGAGAUGAGCAUGGCUGAGCUAACCCGCUUCGAGGAAAUUGUUAGAGAAGCAUUGGCAGCUGUUAAGGCGAGAUUAAGGAGAGAUCCACAGAAGAAAGGGGACAACUGGUCGGGCCAAGAGUCGGGAAAAGAGUGA
rnacentral:rRNA from 1 species